rnacentral:lncRNA from 1 species
UCUCUUUGCCCUUUUCCUCUUUUCAGCCGCUUCUCUGCUUUUCACGUAAAACCCUCUUUACCAAAAUGAAACUCUUUUCUUAUUUCCAACUUAUAUACUUUCCAAUAAUUAUUAUUCCAAUAAUAAUAAUAAUAAUCCAAUAAUUCCAAUUAUUUAAUUAAAUUAAUAAAUAUAAUAUUAACUUAAAUUAAAUAAUUAUCUUAUUUUUAUC